rnacentral:rRNA from 1 species
UACGUAGGUGGCGAACGUUAUCCGGAGUGACUGGGUGUAAAGGGUCCGUAGGCGGGAGCCUAAGUCUGACGUGAAAGCGCCCGGCUCAACUGGGCGAGUGCGUUGGAAACUGGGCUUCUUGACUCACGCAGAGGUCGGCGGAAUUCCCGGUGUAGUGGUGGAAUGCGUAGAGAUCGGGAGGAACCUCGAAAGCGAAGGCAGCCGACUAGGCGCUGAGUGACGCUGAGGGACGAAAGCGUGGGGAGCGAACAGG